ACUUAACCAAGCCUUGCAAUAAAAGCUCAUCAUUGACCAUCAAUGCCCCUUUGUAGGCCAUGAAGAAUUUAAAAGAGUUGAUCCCGUUUUCUUUAACCAUUACUUCCAUAUCUUUUGCAACUUCUUCAUCCCACUUUGUGAUGGCCAUAUGAAAGCCAAAAUCCAUCACUGAUAUUUUGGCUUUAUUCAUAUAAGAUUCAAAUCCGGCAGAUAAACUACCAUCAACAGGUAUAACAAAGUCAAUAUGCAUUGUCGUCCCCCCUGCCAGUGCAGCAGCUUGACCAGA
rnacentral:misc_RNA from 1 species